AUUGAACGCUGGCGGCAGGCCUAACACAUGCAAGUCGAGCGGAUGAAGGGAGCUUGCUCCUGGAUUCAGCUACGGACGGGUGAGUAAUGCCUAGGAAUCUGCCUGGUAGUGGGGGAUAACAUCAGGUAACGAGCGCUAAUACCGCAUAGGUCCUGAGGUAGAAAGUGAUGGAUCUUCGGACCUCGCGCUAUCAGAUGACCCUAGGUCGGAUUAGCUAGUUGGUGGGGUAAAGGCCUACCAAGGCGACGAUCCGUAACUGCUCUGAGAGGAUGAUCAGUCACACUGGAACUGAGACACGGUCCAGACUCCUACGGGAGGCAGCAGUGGGGAAUAUUGGACAAUGGGCGAAAGCCUGAUCCAGCCAUGCCGCGUGUGUGAAGAAGGUCUUCGGAUUGUAAAGCACUUUAAGUUGGGAGGAAGGGCAGUAAGUGAAUACAUUGCUGUUUUGACGUUACCAACAGAGUAAGCACCGGCUAACUUCGUG
rnacentral:rRNA from 1 species